UCAGAGCUUGUUUAUACCGUUCUGGGUCAUGUAUUCGGCUUCUCGUGAAAUAAUUUACCCUGAAGUUUUCGGGGAUGUCGUCUCAGACUUCAAGUUCCACAGCGUCCACACUGUUCCACUAGUGGCAGUGGCAGCUGAAGUUACGCUUUUCCCACGGCCAUUUCCUCCAAAGUGGAUUGGAUUCGUUUCCAGCACUGUCAUCUACUACUCAUACCUGGCCUGGGCGUUUUCACGAACGUCUUGCAGUCAACACUUCUCAAUACAUGAAUUCCAGUUUAUGUCCGUUCGACGAUUUGCAAUGUUUCUGUCGAUGACGACGCUCACCCAAUAUUGCGCGUAUUCAUUCUUCCAACUGGUCAACUCAGGAAUAAAAGGCCUCAGAAAUUUGACUUACAAAGCCAUAGCCUUCAGAAGCACCAGCCUCGAUGCAGCGGAUAUCAGCGCCAAGAAAAACUCUUGAUGAUUACAACCAUUCUGCAUAUUCAUUAAGAUUUCGGUGGUAUUUAGGAAAUUAAGUUAAGUUUAAUUAAUCAUCAUUUGAGAAAGUAUAACCUAAUUGUUCUAUAACUUUAGCUUUCUCUCCACAUUGUGAUGCGUCAACUUAAACAACAUUGAUAUCUUAAACUUUAUCUUUAAACAACAUUGAUAUGAAGGUUUGAGAAGCGUUAUGCGUAGUUAUCUCAAUCUAGAGCAUAGUUUUCUACUGCAUAAUUGUUUUGUACCGCCAGCCGAUUUGUCGAGCUGUGGAUAUUUGAAAUAUUACAUAGGAAAACAAGCGUUUUGGGAGUUCGAUUGCAAUCCGAAAUUACGAUGUCAAAAGUAAAAGGAUAGAAAAUACAAUCUUUGGUUAGUAAUAUUCAGAAAAUCCAUGUGAAUUGAUUAUUUUUAACUAUAUAAUUGGGAAAUCUCGUUCAAAAUACUUAUCGUUAGUUAUGAUAGUGCAUGGAUGCAUCUAUAAAAAUUCCCACAAUUCUCGAUAAUUUGAUGGAAAGAGAUCAUAGAGGGAAUAAUUCGUUUUUUUGCUAUGUAUGUUAACAUAAUGCCUGUUUUCUUCAAUCGACGAUUCGGUCGUGCACUUGAUAUGGUACUUCGAGAUGAUACUCCAGUACAUCAUUUCUGCUCAUAACAGCUCUUAACUUUUGAGAAUUUGAUAGCAGUAAAGCAGUUCCGGUUAAUAGUACACUUGAAGGAGUACAUCUACGUUGACAGUUACCCGCACUUCGUCAACAUAUUGAUGAACUGCAGUUUAUUGUACUUAAGCAAGGCUUGUUGCAAUUAUUCUUAUUCGUUUUUCCUGUUCAACAGCGUAAUAUGCAGUGCACCUGUUAGUACUUAAAAAAUUGAUAACGGUUUAUUAGUGGAUAGCAGCCUUAUAGUUAAUUAUGGUUAACAAGUAAAGUCGUUAAAACUUUUCAGAUAAAGCAAGAACAAACUAAAAAAUUAAAGCAACAAUGUCGGCAUCCGUUAGUCGAAAAAGUCGCUCCGAGCACAAUGCUGAUUAUACAAUGAUACUUUAAAAUACGAACAAUACCUCAAAAAUCCCUUGUAAUCAAUUGAAAAUAAAUUAUUUAUUA